rnacentral:rRNA from 1 species
CUUUCAACAACGGAUCUCUUGGUUCCCGCAUCGAUGAAGAACGCAGCGAAAUGCGAUAAGUAAUGUGAAUUGCAGAACUCAGUGAAUCAUCGAAUCUUUGAACGCACAUUGCGCCCCCUGGCCUCCCGGGGGGCAUGCCUGUUCGAGCGUCUCC